ensembl:lncRNA
CCUCUCUGUCUCUCCCCCCACCCCCUACUCCUCUCCCUCUCUCCCUCUCCUCCUUUCUCCUUCCUCUCUCCUCCUCCUCCUUCCUUCCCUCUUCUAUCCUCCUAGCACACAAGUGCAUCUGCACACCUGCAGUAUGUUUGGGAAGCCCCACACUUCUGCUAGGUGCCCUCUCCAGCUAUUAAGUGAGCAGUAACAAGACCGUCUUACAUAAAGGGUCAGUAGAGAGGUGCUCUGUGACAGUAUGCUAGUUAUUUGGAAAUUUAAGUACUGCAAUUAAUGCCCAUCCAUUUUGGGAGUACUGGGUGUGGCCCUGUAAUUAGAGUGAAUUUUUCUGCAAGUCAGUAGUGAUAGUGGGCUUAGGUUGCUUCAUAUUCUGUAAAGAAAAGCUUAAAAUAUUUUUCCUCCCCUUCAAAAAAUGCAUCUGUUGUAAACAAACUUAUUGUGCGUGGUGGUAAAAUGUUUUGGGUUUUUUACAUCUUUGGCAUCAAGCCAUUAGUGUAAAUGUACACCUUUAUCUUUCAAUAACAGAAACCAAAUCCAUAUUGUAACAUGACGGACUUUUGUAUUGUCAAAUCAUACUGAGAAUUUUUUAGCUAUCUUUGUUAAAACAAGGACUUCCCUACUUUUAAAAAGUAAAUUCUUCACUUGGAAGAAUCUGGAUAAAUACUAGUACAGUGAGAGGGGUUUUUGCAAAAUCCAGUUAUAGGGGACCAAAUGUACAAAGGAAGUAUACGCAAAGACAUAUUCCAGAAAACCCUAAGACCAAAUGAUGUGUCCAUGUUGCUUGCUAUUGCUGUACAGUGAACUCCAUGCUCGGUGAUGGGAAGGGCCUGAGUGACCGGAUGCAGUGCUUGUGCCCUUUCCUUCAGAAGGGACACAUGUUUCCUUCAACGCUUGGGCAGCAGGGAUGACAGGGUAGUUAACUCCUGCUAUGGAGAUUCACAUUUCAAACGAGAUUAGGCAAGCAGGUAAGACACAUGAGAUGCCGCCUUUGACGUGGACUUUCACAAGGAGAGAAAAGCAGCAGAUUGGGGCAUAGACAGCUGCACAGGCUGUUCAAGAGAUCGCUUCCUGAGCCAGGCUGGGGACUGGGAAGAAGAGCACUUUGAGCAAGGACUUUGGGUCAGAGAAAAGACAGAUCAUUUAUAUAUAAUCACUCAUUUAGCAAAUGUGGAAUCUUAAUUAAAAACUCAGUUGCCAAAAUUGCACAAAUUCUGCUAGUUGAUGUUAGCUUUCUCCCCUUAACUCUAAUUAACAGAUAUUUAAGGACACUUAAUAUUUUUUAAUGUUUUAAUGUUUUAUUUAGCUUGCUUUUAAAGAAUUUCAAGGGACAGAAGGGCAGAAAAGGGUAUUUUUUAAAAAAUUGAGAAGUGUAGAUAGUAUAAAAGUAUAUUUCUUGAAGAUAGAGAAUCUAAGUGCUAUACCAAGAUUUUAUAAGGCUUCCUGUUGCCAAAUGGGAUGUUGAGAUAAUGCACAGCUAAGAUGGCAAAUCUAUCAAUUAUUAACUGGCUCUGCCCACUUCUGUUAUGGAAUGCACAGAUUGAGAGGUGACUGGGGAGAUCUAGGGUGUAUGAAAGAGCUCUAUUCAUCUGGCCUAGAAAUGUUUUCAAAAAGGAGGAGAAAACUAUGGCCAUCUGGGUGGUCCCCUGCAAGGUGAACUGAUGGCACCAUUGUUUCUGUGGGAGCUCGCUGCUUGCUUUCUCCAUAGAGACAAACCAUCCCCACCGUAAUGUCAGUGCUGCAGCCUGGAGGUGCAAUGUUCUUGACUCCCAGACAAUGUGCUGAGCUAAUAGGUUCACUUGAGAUGCAUAAACCAAGGCUGUUUAGGUUUUUUAAUCUAGUACUCGGUUUGGAGUGGUUUUGCAUGACUUUGUACAGAGUAACCCAUUCCUCUCAUUGCCUAUCUUAAUCACCCCUGAUUUUCCCACUCUCUUUCUCCCUCCUGUGCUCUGCUCUUCUGAUAACACCCACUUCCCUGAAAAAUAAGUAAAUAAAUAAAUCUUCACUAAACUAAGAAGGUGGAACACCCCCUCUUUCAGCCUUGAUUGCUUUGGAAAUGUGUGUUCUACCCUGUCCAUGGUUUACAUACCAUGAAUUAAGUUAAUGAGAUGUUUUAGUAUUAUAUAUUAACCUGAUAUGACUGUCUUAAGAUUUUUAAUAUGUGGUGCACUUGCUUUCUUGUGCAAAGUUUGAUUCUGUAGCUCUGCAGAGAACUUAACCAUUUUCCUACCAGGGCCAGUAUAAAAGAGCAGGAGAGCAUGGUAUGAGUAUGUGGAGGUCAAGCCACAAGGAAGGCUGAGAAACCAGGAGAAGACAUUGACCUGAGGCUACCUAGUCACCCAGUGCCCGGAGCACUGGACAGUGUGAGGGCGACAGAUGCCUUUCCCUGGCUUCCCUCAUCCCCUGCCUGGCUCAUUCUGGGAAAUCCCUGCUGCUUUCUGUCCUCCUCAGGGUGGGAGGGCGCAGCCUGUGCUCCCGGAAAGCUCCCUGUGUCUCCUGCUGACCCUAGAGUAGCCCUGUGAGCUGCAGCCAGAUGCCUCCAUGGCUGGGAGAACACAGCUUUCUAACCCAUCCCACCGGCGCAUCUCCGAUAACAAAAACAUGUGACUCAACCUGCAUACUUGGCAGUGAAAGUGGCCAGAGGGAAUUGAAAUAUCUUAAGGAAAAGGAAUUUUUUUUACCCAGAUAUAUCUUCUCCCUCACUCGGAAUUUAAGGAUUUGGCCUUUCUGUGUUUGUAGUGUCCGCAUCAGCGUCAACCCCAUGUCUUCCACUAAGCCUGCGGCAGAACCAAAGUCUGCGCUACCCAAGGCUAACUGUACGGAGGACAGGGACAGCUUGGGUCACCCUGGUCUCACUGUGAUGUCGGUAGCUUCAUAAAUGCUGUAUGUGCUUUAAGCAAGGGUUUUGUUUUUGUUUUGUUUUGCCUCUCAGUUAUUAGUAGCCUAAGGUAAUUAAAUUUUUUAUUUGCUACUUCCUUUGUUGUAUUUUCUGUACUGUAACUGUCUACAGUAUGUCUUUUGCAUAAAAUGCAUAAGGGUUUGGGAUGUAAAUGGAAUUUUAUUCAUAUUUUGUCCAAAUACCUCUUGUAAUUUGUAUCAAAAUUCUUGUACAAUUUUUAUAUUAAAGAU